AAUGAAACAAAAAUUUUAGAUGUGUUUUACAAAAUUUAACAAGCGACAAAAAUAAAUUAUUAAUCCUCAAAAUUAUUAGCCGCGUCCACAAAAUGGCUAAAUCAGUGGAGCGUUACACAGAAAUUGAUAUGAAUGAGUCUGAAGGUGACGAUGAGCAUUUCCAAUCGCAACAGCCUAAAGUGAAUUCUGAUGUUUAUGUUAAUGGAUUUGUCGUUGUUAUGGAUAUCAUUUCCCUGCUCUUCAAGCUGCUGAUAGUGUCUCUGUUCGUAUACGUCAUAUACAGUUUGUGGCGCACUAAGCGUGAUGUCUUCGACGAUGAAGAUGAUUGUCCAAUCUUUUAAUUCUUUCCUCUACCACAGUUAUAAUUCAGUUGUUUCCUAUGUGCCAUCACUGCUUCAAGACUGUGGGAAUAUCAUAUAACAUAUACAGUUUCCAAUCGCGACAACAUCAAUGUUCCUCCUGCCAAACAAAACCUUGUUUCGAAUGAGUCAAGGAUUAAGUAAUAAAGAUUUUUAAAUUAAAUUUUGAAACCAAUUAAGGUAUAAUGUUGAACGGUUUGUUUGCGACUUGUUAUAUUGUAUUCGUUUAAAGGAAACCUGGAACCUAACAUUGUUUGGCCUAUCUUUACUAAUGUGCUGCUAAGAAUAUUAACAUGUCUACAUUUAAGUACUCAAAAAGCCAAUUUUGAGCUUGCUAAUUUUAAGUGAUCUAUUUUUACAAAUAUACAUUUGUAUAUUAU